GAUGAAGAACGCAGCGAAAUGCGAUAAGUAGUGUGAAUUGCAGAAUUCAGUGAAUCAUCGAAUCUUUGAACGCACAUUGCGCCCCUUGGUAUUCCAUGGGGCAUGCCUGUUCGAGCGUCAUUUGUACUCUCAAGCUCUGCUUGGUGUUGGGUGUUUGUCCUCUCUAUAGUGUUUGGACUCGCCUUAAAGCAAUUGGCAGCCAGUGUUUUGGUCAUGAAGCGCAGCACAAUUUGCGACUCUAGCCUCAAAACACCAGCAUCCAUCAAGCCCUUUUUUAACGCUUGACCUCGGAUCAGGUAGGGAUACCCGCUGAACUUAAGCAUAUCAAUAAGCGGAGGGA
rnacentral:misc_RNA from 1 species